UCGUGGAGCGAUUUGUCUGGUUUAUUCCGAUAACGAGCGAGACUCUAGCCUACUAAAUAGUUCGCACAUUGUCAACUUGUGUGCGCUUACUUCUUAGAGGGAUUUUCGGUGUUCAGCCGCACGAGAUUGAGCAAUAACA
rnacentral:rRNA from 1 species